GUGCCAGCCGCCGCGGUAAUACGGGCGGAGCGAGCGUUGUUCGGAAUUAUUGGGUGUAAAGGGUGCGCAGGCGGUCGAUUAAGUCGGAAGUGAAAUGUCCACGGCUCAACCGGGAAUCUGCUUCCGAUACUGGUCGACUUGAGUGCGGGAGGGGAGCGUGGAAUUCCUGGUGUAGCGGUGAAAUGCGUAGAUAUCAGGAGGAACACCUGUGGCGAAGGCGACGCUCUGGCCCGUAACUGACGCUCAUGCACGAAAGCCAGGGGAGCGAACGGGAUUAGAAACCCGCGUAGUCC
rnacentral:rRNA from 1 species